rnacentral:misc_RNA from 1 species
GGGAUUAACGUGAUGUUCAGAAGACCAUGGGUCAAGUGGGAGGGGCGAAACUUAUCAAUAUUUCCAUACAUGUGAGUAAAUUUGCCCUCAAGUAUGCCAUUGUUAUGACUUAUGAUGGAUGAUUAACAAAUAUGAUAUCAUCCAAUUUCCCGGACCCAAAUAACACUGGGGGAAGCUAGAAGCAUCCUCAAUCAGCCCCCCUAAGAAACAAUAAAUAUAUGGAAAUCAAAAUAAAAGAAGAGAAUUUGGGGCAAGGGGGCAAAAAAUCCCCCGAGGCUUUUUACAGUCAUUCCAGUAGACAAGGUUUAACAGCCAUCAACUCAGUUAGCAACCUAGAGAAUAUCCGCAGCUUCAGGAAUCCAAAGGCAUCAUCAAUAGCUCUGAGAAAGAUGAGAUGGCAUGCACAAGAAAAUGUCCAUAAGUCAAUUCAUCAACCAUGGUUCACUUUCAGCUUGCUCUCAACAAAAGCCUCAUCUAGGGAAUACUGUGUUUGAGAUCAUAACCAUCCAAUCCAUCGCUGGCCAUUGAUUCCAGACCUUGCUGGACUUCAAAGUUUCAGCUAAACAACCAGAAAAUAGACCUCAUCCGAACU